GAUGAACGCUGGCGGCGUGCCUAAUACAUGCAAGUCGAGCGAACAGACGAGGAGCUUGCUCCUCUGACGUUAGCGGCGGACGGGUGAGUAACACGUGGAUAACCUACCUAUAAGACUGGGAUAACUUCGGGAAACCGGAGCUAAUACCGGAUAAUAUAUUGAACCGCAUGGUUCAAUAGUGAAAGACGGUUUUGCUGUCACUUAUAGAUGGAUCCGCGCCGCAUUAGCUAGUUGGUAAGGUAACGGCUUACCAAGGCAACGAUGCGUAGCCGACCUGAGAGGGUGAUCGGCCACACUGGAACUGAGCCACGGUCCAGACGCCUACGGGAGGCAGCAGUAGGGAAUCUUCCGCAAUGGGCGAAAGCCUGACGGAGCAACGCCGCGUGAGUGAUGAAGGUCUUCGGAUCGUAAAACUCUGUUAUUAGGGAAGAACAAAUGUGUAAGUAACUAUGCACGUCUUGACGGUACCUAAUCAGAAAGCCACGGCUAACUACGUG
rnacentral:rRNA from 1 species